GCGCGGAGCGCAUCUUUUAAUCCGAAGGCAGCCUUCUUCCCCACUGAGAUUGUAUGAACCGUUUCUCCCGAUGCUCAAGGCAUCCCUCAGGCCUACUGGAUGCGGGUCCCUGGAGAGGAGCUUCAGGGAUAUCAUAAGGACUGAGCUUGAGGCUCUCCCCAACCAGUUGGAGGUGAACAGGGACAUUACUGCCGCCCCCAAGCCCCAGUCACCCCACCUUCUUUUAACUUGAAGCUGGCUAAAGAGAGAUGCCGAGAGACUCUGACUGGGUGAGGGCAGGAUAGCUCCUGUUAGGUUCCUGGGUAGGCAGAGGGGUGACUUGUUUUCCUGCCUGUACAGGGGUUUUUACAAGCCCCGCCCUGCCACCCCGCACCUGUCAACACCCAAGUAACCGUGUUCGCGACAUAACCAACAAAGUAGAAACUUGGACUUCUCCCUGCGUGAGAAUACAGAACAGAUGUCUCCGUGUGUCUUACAUCCAGCACACUAUGCAACUGUGCUUUGAUUAAAUGUUGCUGGGUGGGGGGUGGAUGACACCUUUCAGGACCCCCAGAUUUGGAAUCAGACAUCAGCACUUUCUCAACAAGAACACUGGCCUUCGGAGCUUCUGAUAUUCCCGCAUCGAGCCGCUGAGUGUGUGCCAGAAGGAGCAAGCGCCCAUCCUCCGCUCUCUGAAAGUUUACACCUUGCUUAAGGAAAACAUCCAAGAGAACACUUCCCGGCCUUCCAAAGCAGAGAGAGGUCUUUCAAGGCAGAGGUUGUUUAAAGACAGAAGGAGCAACGAAAAAGAAACUGGAUUGCAAAAUGAAAUGAAGAAAAGAGCCCCCAAAUUUCCGGAUCACAACCACCCCUCUCACUCCUGACUCCAAGAUUUUGUACUUGAAACCUGGUCCUCCCAGGGCCGACCUGCCGCGCACCCUUAAUUCCCUUGCAAGCUCCGAAUUGCUGAGGCCAAGUGUGGGUCUAGGGCUUAUUGCUUCUAGACCAGGCCCGGAGCAUCCUGAGAGGGUAGGGGAGAGGCCUGCCCGCUCGUUUACAAGCACUCACCCCCUCCGGGUCCCCCCUCCCCCGCGCGCGCGCCCCGUCCGCCCAG